GCGGAUGUGGCGGAACUGGCAGACGCGCUAGACUUAGGAUCUAGUGGGCAACCGUGGGGGUUCAAGUCCCUUCAUCCGCA
rnacentral:tRNA from 2 species